rnacentral:rRNA from 1 species
GUGGGGAUGACGUCAAGUCCUCAUGGCCCUUAUGUCCUGGGCUACACACGUGCUACAAUGGCGGUGACAGUGGGAAGCCAGGCAGCGAUGCCGAGCUGAUCCUCAAAAGCCGUCUCAGUUCGGAUUGCACUCUGCAACUCGAGUGCAUGAAGGUGGAAUCGCUAGUAAUCGCGGAUCAGCAUGCCGCGGUGAAUACGUUCCCGGGCCUUGUACACACCGCCCGUCACACCAUGGGAUUUGGUUUGACCUUAAGUUGGUGCGAUAACCCGCAAGGGAGGCAGCCAACCACGGUCGGGUUAGAGACUGGGGUGAAGUCGUAACAAGGUAGCCGUAA